GUGGAGCAUGUGGCUUAAUUUGACUCAACGCGGGAAAUCUUACCGGGUCCGGACACACUGAGGAUUGACAGGCAAUAUUAAUACAUCAGCUCUUUUUUAUUAAAGUCUGUGUAUUAUGUUAAAUAUGCUAGUCCUUUCAUGAUUAUGUGAUAGGUGGUGCAUGGCCGUUCUUAGUUCGUGGAGUGAUCUGUCUGCUUAAUUGCGUUUCACUAAGGGCCUAUAAAUUUACGUGUGUUGCGGCACUUUGACCCCUCUCUGAGCGCGCGUCUUAGUUUGCUUUGCUCGCACAAUUAGGUCCUGAAAGCAACGAACGUGACCGCAACCUCUUGUUGCCUUUAUUCCAAACAUGUUUGCCAUUUUAAAUGGUAUUCAUGAAAAAAGGCUUUUUAAACUAGAGGGACCGCUGUUACUUUCUUAAACCAGAGGAAGGUUGCGGCAAUAACAGGUCUGUGAUGCCCUUAGAUGUUCCGGGCUGCACACGUGCUACAAUGAUUAUUGCAGUGAGCAUCUCAUUUUUACACACCGCAUGCGCGAGUCCAUUUAUUCACCUCUCUGAGGCGCUUUAAAUGUGUACCUCUGCGCGCAGUAAAGCCUGCUUCGAGAGUAAGUGGGUAAUCAAUUAGAAGUAAUGAUUUCCUUUUUAGCACACAUAUAUACGGCGUCUAUGCCCGGGCUGCCUUGUUGUAGCUUUUGUGCGUAUAGAUGUUUUUUCCGUAUGUGCGAUUGUCAAUUCAUGGUGGGGACAGACCAUUGUUAAUUGUUGGUCUCGGUCUUAACUAGGAAUGCCUUGUACGGGUCUUUGGUUCAACAAACCACCCGGAAUACGUCCCUGCCCUUUGUACACACCGCCCGUCGCUCUUACCGAUGGACUUCUCUGUGAGUUUGAGGGACUGGGAACGCAGAUUUUAUCUGCACACCUAUGGAAACUUAAACGAACAGUGUGGUCUAAAG
rnacentral:rRNA from 1 species